UACAGAGGUCUCAAGCGUUGUUCGGAUUCAUUGGGCGUAAAGGGUGCGUAGGUGGCGCCGUAAGUCGGGUGUGAAAUUUCGGAGCUUAACUCCGAAACUGCAUUCGAUACUGCGGUGCUUGAGGACUGGAGAGGAGACUGGAAUUCAUGGUGUAGCAGUGAAAUGCGUAGAGAUCAUGAGGAAGACCAGUGGCGAAGGCGGGUCUCUGGACAGUUCCUGACGCUGAAGCACGAAGGCCAGGGGAGCAAACGGG
rnacentral:rRNA from 1 species